CUCGAAAAUAAUUUGUUGUUUGAUACAGGAAAUUAAAGACAUAUAUGCUGAUAUUGAAGCCUCAAAGAGCAUAGUAAAAGAAUUUUUAAAAUUAUUAGAGCAUCAUUUACAGGUAGCUUUCCAACCCCAUAUUUGCUUAGAUAGAAUUUGAACCUUAGAACUUUAAAUUGUGUUUUAAAUCUUUUAUUUAUAAAAGAGAAAAAAAAUUUUUUUUUACUCUAAUGUUACGUUCUUCUUGUAGAAGGAAAAUGCAACUGUUGAGAACCCAAAUCAAUUUAUCGACAAUGGGGUCCUUACAGAAAAUCAAGGAAUUGGUGGCUCUUAGACAUUGACUACACGUAUAGUAGAUGAGUAUCUAAUAAAUUUGAAGUAAUACUAGUGUUGAUUUUAACUAUUAUUUAUAUUUACAGUUUGUUUCUCUUAGAUUUUUAUUCUUCUUUAUGAACAUUAAUUUUAAAAUUGUAUUUUUACUUCAUUGUAAACAUUAAUUUUUUAAACAUAUUAUAGAAUUUUAUUCGAAUCUUUAUAAAUUGUGAGUCGUGGUAUGGUGCAUGUAGGUUAUUGAUGACCACUAACAUAUGCUCGUGUAUGUACAUCAGCAGGUUCAAAGAU
rnacentral:lncRNA from 1 species